GCCUAACUUAAUUGUAAAUUCUAUAAAGGCAAAAUGGGGCCUUAAAAUUAUAUAGUGUUAACAGCUCAAAGUCGUUGAAAGUUGGGUAUGAUUCUAACUUAAUUUUAAAGGACUCAAAUUUUCUUAAAUUUUUAUUAUGAUACAUUAAACCUCUCACGUACUUAUUUAUAUAGAUUUACGCAAAAAUGGUUGGGUAUCAGAAGAUAUGGGAGCCAAGAUUAGAUGGGGGUUUUUCUGGGUUUGACUUGGAUUGACCCCCUCAGCUUUACAGGGAUGCAAUACUCAGACUCAACCUGCAAUCUACUUGAAAAAUAACGGAUUAAGUUUAUGUAUUUCUGACCCACCACCCAAUCACAUUGGUUCAACGGGUCCACCUGCAAACAUGGUUUUUUUCAAAUGAAGCUUUUAUUAAAAGUAAAUAUAGAGUCCACCCUCUAAAAUCUAAGCAUGUUUUGAACUUUGGUCAAACACAUUUUGGUACAAUUUAAACUUAUGCUGUGUUUGUUACUAUUAUGUACUCAUAGCUAUAAUACAGUUUAUUAGUAAGUUUGUUGUUUUUUUUAGUUUGUUUUUCAGAGAUAAACUAUCCCAUUUGACCCAAAGUGAACCCUUCAACUUAACACCUUGUUUGACCCAUGUCAUGAGGGUCAGAUCCGGGUUAGUAGGUCCUGAGUGUUGAAAAUUCUAGCAUAAGCUAGAACCUUUUUUUUUUGGUUCGUACACAUGUGACCAGAAAUCUUGAAUUCUUUAUGGUAGCAGAUAAAUAGAAGUUUGUGUACCUUAUAGGUCACAGUUUCAGGCCAUUUUUACUUUUAAGUUGAUAUCCAGAGUGUUAUUGAAGUUUCUCUGAUGAAAGUUUCUGGAAGCUCCAUAUAGAUAAUUUAUUGAAUGGAUUAUAACUUUAGUUAGGAACAACAAAAAAUAAUAGUAUUAGCCUUGAUGCUUUUGCAUGAUUCCAUAUAUAAGGUUACAAUUUGUCAAAGAAAACAAAAUGGCAGCAUCAAUCUGAGAUAAAAAUACUAAUGCAAUGACUGUGACCCGUGAAAUGAUAUUGGUUCAACAGAGUUGUCUUCAUUUGGCUGGUAAGUGUAACGAUCAAAAUAUGAUAAACUAUUUCUUUAAGGAUUGUGACUCGUGAAUCAAUAUCAAUUGCUUGUCUUCCCUUGGUUUACUAAUUCAGCUCAACACUAAGGACAGUUCCUUAUAGUUGAAGAAAUGGGAGCCAGGCUCACAGCUUUUAAAAACAGGGCCAAUCCGGACAGAUAUCGGAUGAUCAUUAAAGUGAAACCAGGCGAGGUCAGGAAUGUAUUGACAGGGUUGUGCAAUUUUGAAGAGUAUUUGGCUGGAAAACAUGAUAACCAUAUCUUCCUGAUGGUUUUCAUGGACGGGCAUGGGAAGUCAAGACGUACGCAAAAAUCAUUGGCUAUUCUUUUGAUGACUUUGGGGUCAUCUUGAAAGGUGCUAAAUUUACCUUCACUAGCUUUUUCAGAUUCAGCUGCCACAAGUUUGUGAUUGAGAGACCGAAAGGCAAAGACUACCUGUUGCUAAAGUGGUGCUCCUAAGUUGAGACAUACUUCUGAUAUGUUGCCAUCUGUGUGCUACGUGUUCUGACAUAGGACUGUUCUACCUUCUGAUCGAAGAGGGAGCCUUUAGAUUCAUGACACGAGUUUACAGCUCUAAACCAUGUAUUACGUACCUGAAUAAACUGUGUGUACAAACUCUGUAUACUAUGUUUAAUUAGUAUUUUAUCCUGUAUUUGUUUACGCAUGUCAGGUUUAUGUUCAACGUUUUGUGUUCAAAAUGGCUCUAAUACAUAUUCUCGAGUUUGAAUUCUGCAUUAA